rnacentral:rRNA from 1 species
UACGAAGGGGGCUAGCGUUGUUCGGAAUUACUGGGCGUAAAGCGCGUGUAGGCGGGUCUUUAAGUCAGGGGUGAAAUCCCCGGGCUCAACCUGGGAACUGCAUCUGUGACUGCAUAGCUAGAGUACGGUAGAGGGGGAUGGAAUUCCGCGUGUAGCAGUGAAAUGCGUAGAUAUGCGGAGGAACACCGAUGGCGAAGGCAAUCCCCUGGACCUGUACUGACGCUCAUGCACGAAAGCGUGGGGAGCAAACAGG